rnacentral:rRNA from 1 species
CGGUUGAUCCUGCCGGACCCCACUGCUAUCGGGAUGGGACUAAGACAUGCUAGUCGUGCGUCUCCAAGCCAUAGCUUGGAGACGCGGCACACAGCUCAGUAACACGUGGCUAACCUACCCUUGGGACAGGGACAACCCCGGGAAACUGGGGCUAAUCCCUGAUAGGUGAGGGUUCCUGGAAUGGAUCCUCGCCCAAAAGGCGCCUAGACCAUGCUUCUAGGCGCUGCCCAAGGAAGGAGCCGCGGCCGAUCAGGUUGUUGGUGAGGCAACGGCUCACCAAGCCUUUAACCGGUACGGGCCGUGAGAGCGGUAGCCCGGAGAUGGGCACUGAGACAAGGGCCCAGGCCCUACGGGGCGCAGCAGUCGCGAAAACUCCGCAAUACACGAAAGUGUGACGGGGCCAUCCCGAGUGCCAUCCGCUGAGGAUGGCUUUUCCCUAGUGUAUAAAGCUAGGGGAAUAAGGAGAGGGCAAGCCUGGUGUCAGCCGCCGCGGUAACACCAGCUCUCCGAGUGGUGGGGAUGCUUAUUGGGCCUAAAGCAUUCGUAGCCGGCUGGGCAAGUCCCCCGUUAAAUCCAACGAUCCAAUCGUUGGGCUGCGGGGGAUACUGCCCGGCUAGGGGGCGGGAGAGGCCGACGGUAUUCUCGGGGUAGGGGUGAAAUCCUAUAAUCCCGGGAGGACCACCAGUGGCGAAGGCUGUCGGCUAGAACGCGCCCGACGGUGAGGGAUGAAAGCUGGGGGAGCGAACCGGAUUAGAUACCCGGGUAGUCCCAGCUGUAAACGAUGCAGGCUAGGUGUUGGCGCGGCUACGUGCCGCUCCAGUGCCGCAGGGAAGCCGUUAAGCCUGCCGCCUGGGAAGUACGGCCGCAAGGCUGAAACUUAAAGGAAUUGGCGGGGGAGCAC